ensembl:snoRNA SNORD39 Small nucleolar RNA SNORD55/SNORD39
GUUGCAAUGAUGAAACUUUUUCCACUGCUGCAUUAAGGCCGAGUGUGCCAUGCGGAGACUUACCUUGGAGAACUGAGUAAC